AUGGCAGGUUCUCACAAUAAUAUCAACGUGCUGCAGCGUUCUCCAGUCUUCGCGAGGCUUGCAGAAGGCCACUCCCCACCUGUCAACUUUGAGAUCAACGGCCACCAUUACAACAAGGGAUACUAUCUAGCAGAUGAUAUAUAUCCUCAGUGGUCAACUUUUGUGAAGACAAUCUCGAAACCCCAAGGUGAGAAGAGAAAGAGAUUUGCCCAAAUGCAAGAGAGUGUUAGAAAGGAUGUGGAACGUGCUUUUGGUGUGCUUCAAUCCUGGUGGGGUAUCGUUCGAAACCCUGCACUGUCAUGGGAUGAAGGGAAGCUUUGGGAGGUGAUGACUGCUUGUGUGAUCAUGCACAACAUGAUUGUCGAGGACGAGCGUGAUGAGAGUAUCUUCAACCAAGGAUUUGAUUAUCAAGGUGAAAAUAUUAAGCCCCUGCACCAAGACCCGGCCACAUUUGAAUAG
rnacentral:rRNA from 1 species